rnacentral:rRNA from 1 species
UACGUAGGGAGCAAGCGUUGUCCGGAAUCAUUGGGCGUAAAGCGCGCGUAGGCGGCCUCAUAAGUCCGUUGUGAAAGUCAAAGGCUCAACCUUUGAAAGCCGAUGGAUACUGUGAGGCUAGAGUCCGGAAGAGGCGAGUGGAGUUCCUGGUGUAGUGGUGAAAUGCGUAGAGAUCGGCAGGAACACCCAGGGGGAAACCAGCCGACUGGGCAAGUGCUGACGCUGAGGUGCGAGAGCGUGGGGAGCGAACCGG